AACGAACGCUGGCGGCAUGCCUAACACAUGCAAGUCGAACGAGACCUUCGGGUCUAGUGGCGCACGGGUGCGUAACGCGUGGGAACCUGCCCUUAGGUUCGGAAUAACUCCCCGAAAGGGGUGCUGAUACCGGAUAAUGUCUUCGGACCAAAGAUUUAUCGCCUUUGGAUGGGCCCGCGUUGGAUUAGCUAGUUGGUAGGGUAAAAGCCUACCAAGGCGACGAUCCAUAGCUGGUCUGAGAGGAUGAUCAGCCACACUGGGACUGAGACACGGCCCAGACUCCUACGGGAGGCAGCAGUGGGGAAUAGUGGACAAUGGGCGAAAGCCUGAUCCAGCAAUGCCGCGUGAGUGAUGAAGGCCUUAGGGUUGUAAAGCUCUUUUACCCGGGAUGAUAAUGACAGUACCGGGAGAAUAAGCUCCGGCUAACUCCGUG
rnacentral:rRNA from 1 species